GGGAUGCUUCGGCUUUCUCAGAUUACUUAUUUUCAACUCCAUCUGAAAGGAAAUGGAGCCGGAGAAACUUUAAACAGUUUCUCAAAUUUGUCUGUCCUUCAAGGUACAUAACAAGUGAGAAAAGGUAGUUGAAGCCACAAUAAUUUGUACAAUUGACUCUAAUUAACACUCGAACUCAAGAUCUCACAGCAUGAUUGUAGUACCACUACCACUGAGCUAAAGCUCAUAGAAGCCAUAUUUAACAAAGUUCCAAACAGGACAAAAUAUUCCAUACACAAAAUCUAUGCAAUUAUCAAAGACAUACAUAACUUAAUAAGAAUUAUCAACAAGAACAAAUAAAUUUGGCGACUGCUACAUGAAAAUGAAAGUUAUCCAUUUGUCUCAUCCAGAAUAAACCUUAGAAACAUACUCCUUCUACACCCCCUCAUGUAUCAAAUAGGUUAUCGAUUGAAUUUAUGCCCCUCUUUCCUUGAUAAAUUGUGCAAGUCCUGCCGGAACACCAUUAAUCAUACUAUCCAAGAAAUCAAACAAGGUCAACAAAAAUAAUAGUGACGGUUGAGAAAGAGAUAAGGAGAUUAUUACACAUAGAACAUAGCCAACCAUUCUGUAAAUUUAUGGAAGUUGUGAAAAGAACUAGCAACCAGAUGAAAUUUCUAUUCCCAACUUAUGCGACGAGCAAAAUUUUACACUUUAUCAGAUCAUGUUUUCUUGAAAUUUUAUGGAUCAAACAGAUAAUGAAUAUAAAGAAAGCUCAUUUGCUCAUAGACUGACCACCAAAAUAAUCCAUCAGGAAGGCAUAGUUUUAAAAAAACUUUAAAACCCACUUCCCAUUUAA
rnacentral:misc_RNA from 1 species